rnacentral:rRNA from 1 species
GACGAACCGUGCGGACGUUGUUCGGAAUCACUGGGCGUAAAGCGCGCGCAGGCGGUCAUUUAAGUUUGGUGUUUAAUCCCGGAGCUCAACUCCGGGUCGCACUGAAAACUGGGUGACUUGAGUACAGAAGAGGAGAGUGGAAUUCCACGUGUAGCGGUGAAAUGCGUAGAUAUCUGGAGGAACACCGGUGGCGAAGGCGGCAUCCUGGACCAUUACUGACGCUGAUCCGCGAAAGCUAGGGGAGCAAACGGG